UCCGAAAUACCGCGCCUGUGCGCGGAGAAUAGGUUACGCCAACGAGGAAUUUACCACGUUUGAUCUACAUGGUAGUGCGGUCCCCUCGAUCGCGAUCUAAAUUUUCUGUGUGACGAUUAUAACCUCUUGCUUUGUGAUUGCUAUAUUCAGCACUUUUAUAAAACAAAGAUAUUGUUGAAUCAAAGGUAAACAGAGGUUUUACAAGUAAAAAAGAACAAGAGUUUUGUGCAAUUGUAUUGCACAUGUCCGUGUGAUCAUUGAAGCUCACACGAAUUGUCAUCUGUUUACAGACCUCCUUGCUGUUGCAACUCUGAGGAUAAUUGCUUCAAAUGGGAAGGAACAACCAGCAGUGCCAGCGCUAUUUGUACAUGAGGACACCUCCUUGCUGUUGCAACUCUGAGGAUAAUUGCUUCAAAUAGGAAGGAACAACCAGCAGUGCCAGCGCUAUUUGUACAUGAGGACACCUCCUUGCUGUUGCAACUCUGAGGAUAAUUGCUUCAAAUGGGAAGGAACAACCAGCAGUGCCAGCGCUAUUUGUACAUGAGGACACCUCCUUGCUGUUGCAACUCUGAGGAUAAUUGCUUCAAAUGGGAAGGAACAACCAGCAGUGCCAGCGCUAUUUGUACAUGAGGACACCUCCUUGCUGUUGCAACUCUGAGGAUAAUUGCUUCAAAUGGGAAGGAACAACCAGCAGUGCCAGCGCUAUUUGUACAUGAGGACGACGAGAGGGUUCCACUCACCCCCUGUGUGGUGUAUUCUGGCCACAACCUGGAACAGGCAGAGUUUCUCCACCUCUGUGUCGGCAAGGAACGGCUGUUCAUGGUC